GAACAUCCCACUAAAGGACAGUCACCAGAGGUUUGGCUGGAAGUGAGAGCUCGAGCUCCAUCUACGACUGCUCCUCCUCCUCCUCCUCUGAUAUCUCUUCCCAGGCUGGCAUACACAAUCUUUUUGUUCAUCCUGUUCACUGGUAUACUCAUACUGUGUAUAUCCAUGUGCAAAGGUUGACUCAAGCUGAAACUGAGACAAAAAUGAGAGAGUCUGAUCAUCUAUGACUGGAGUGUCUGAGGAUGAAGAUCAUGAUGAACAAUAACGAUCAUUGUAUCACCAGGAUUAAAGUAACAUUUUUUUGGUUUUACUUUUUUAACUUUAUAACUUUUUAACAGCUGAUGU